GCGCCUGGGAAGGGGCCGCCGACAUCUUUCGUGGUCAUAUUUGUGGUUGUUAUUAUUUGUUAUUCGUUUACGUUUGGAGGCGUCCCUUUGAGGUAUUUAGAAAGGGAUACAAAUUGCCGUUCAGUACAUAGCAGCAUUCGUGGUCAUCUUCAUAUUUUUGGAAGUGCAAGUUGUUUCACGUUCCUAUCGCGAUUCAUGGUGUCGUGGUGCAUUUCACAUCUCAUAAGAGCGUACAUCAACUCAACCGAGCUCACAAUCCUGUCGUGGGAGUGAAGACGAGAGCAAGUUCUGUGCCUGAUUUGUAGGCUUGUUAUUGUGUCAAGAAUCUUAAAGGAGCUGAUGUAUUCCAAGGACUUCCAAUUGUCUACACAUUGUCUCUAGUGCCACAUUGAUCUCAGUUUUACCCAGCUUGUGUGUGGACGUUUUGCAAUAGCGAGAAGUUAAGUUUCAGUGAAACAAGAGUGAAUAUACAGUCUCCUGUUGCAUUUUGUGAACUGUCUUUGAAUUGUCUCAACUUGAACAUAAAGCAUUGGGAUUGAACUCCACUGUGAUCAGAAGAUGGCUAGUGAUGUUGAAAUGCUGGCUAACAAGAAUGGUAAUGGCAUAUCAGCCAAGCAACAAGUAAAUGUGGCAAAGCCAGCCAAGGAUAAACCAGGCGAAGGAAAUGCAUCCAAGAAUU